rnacentral:rRNA from 1 species
AACGAACGCUGGCGGCAGGCUUAACACAUGCAAGUCGAACGCCCCGCAAGGGGAGUGGCAGACGGGUGAGUAACGCGUGGGAAUCUACCCAAUUCUACGGAACAACUGAGGGAAACUUCAGCUAAUACCGUAUACGCCCUACGGGGGAAAGAUUUAUCGGAAUUGGAUGAGCCCGCGUUGGAUUAGCUAGUUGGUGGGGU